rnacentral:rRNA from 1 species
CACGUAGGCACCAAGCGUUGUCCGGAUUUAUUGGGCGUAAAGAGCUCGUAGGCGGUUCGGUAAGUCGGGUGUGAAAACUUUGGGCUCAACCCAAAGCCUGCACUCGAUACUGCUGUGACUUGAGUCCGGUAGGGGAGUGGGGAAUUCUUGGUGUAGCGGUGGAAUGCGCAGAUAUCAGGAGGAACACCGGUGGCGAAGGCGCCACUCUGGGCCGGUACUGACGCUGAGGAGCGAAAGCGUGGGGAGCGAACAGG